ACCUUUUCUUUGCAAAGAAAAUAAAAACCUUGUCGGCCGGCAGUAGUCUCUAUUUCAUUAUUCACCAGCAGCAGAGAAUUUCCACAACAAUUUGGUGUCAGAAGUGGGAUCCCUCGAGUGAUUGUCUGGGACGGAGCAGUGACAGGCCAUCCUGGAAGGAAAAAGAUUUCCAGCCUGCAACCUCAAAUCCUCUUCUGAGCAGGGAGGACUGACCGCAGACGUCCCAGAUAGUUGCCGCUAGGAUUCCACAAACGCAAUUCAGCGAAAUUCAUCUGUUGGCGGCUUUGAAGCUGGAUCCAGAUCUUGACGGCAACCUACCAUUUCGUCCUUCUUUCAACACCUACAGUGGCCCUCAACUACCUGAUGAGUCAAGCAAUUCUCCAGAUGUGUGGAAAAUUCAUCUCUGCAAUUGUUUCUUAAACGGACUAAAACCGGACAUUGCCUCAGCUGUUAAAAGUUCCUGCAUCGGUUGGAAUGAUGCACGCCUGUUCGAACUUCGCAGACACACCAUACAUGCCCAUGACCAAAUACUCUCUAAGAUUAAAAAAAAAACAAACAAAAAAAAAACACAGAAGGAGCACAUGGCAGCAAUAACCAUGUAUAACACAGUCCGAGAACAUGGACAACCAGGUCAUGAACAUAGAGGGAAAGAACGCGGCCGACACAAGAACUGGGGAAGAAAACCUCCAAGUGAUGUUUCCUCUGUGGCCAGCGUGGACACUGCAGACGUGAUUGCCACAGAAGUACCUCAAAACUCCACAGUAGACAAGUCAGACUGAAAAUGGUUGAGGGUUGUUGGAGAGAGAUGGACUCCUGCUGACAAGCCAAACCAACUUGUGGGGCCAGAAGAAGCAGGUGAAAUCAGCCCUUCCACCACCAGCUUCCACAUCACUCCAUGAUUUCCAACCUGGCGACUGGGUAGUGAUAAAGGACCUAAGAAGGAAACGCUGGCACUCCAAAC